CCUACGGGUGACAGCAGUGAGGAAUAUUGGUCAAUGGACGAGAGUCUGAACCAGCCAAGUAGCGUGAAGGAUGACUGCCCUAUGGGUUGUAAACUUCUUUUAUAAAGGAAUAAAACGAGGCACGUGUACCUUUUUGCAUGUACGUUAUGAAUAAGGAUCGGCUAACUCCGUGCCAGCAGCCGCGGUAAGACGGAGGAUCCGAGCGUUAUCCGGAUUUAUUGGGUUUAAAGGGAGCGUAGAUGGGUUGUUAAGUCAGUUGUGAAAGUUUGCGGCUCAACCGUAAAAUUGCAAUUGAUACUGGCAGUCUUGAGUACAGUUGAGGUAGGCGGAAUUC
rnacentral:rRNA from 1 species